UCUAUAAUACCUCUGUUGCCUCGGCGGGUCGUCGAAAGCCUAGCGAUAGGUCUAGCCGUCGGCUCUCACGAGCCUGCGAGCGCCCGUCGAAGGAUUAAUCCAAACCAUUUGAAACAAGCCUUCUGAGUAAAAUUAUAAUACUUCAAAACUUUCAACAACGGAUCUCUUGGUUCUCGCAUCGAUGAAGAACGCAGCGAAAUGCGAUAAGUAUUGUGAAUUGCAGAAUUCAGUGAAUCAUCGAAUCUUUGAACGCACAUUGCGCCCCUUGGUAUUCCGGGGGGCAUGCCUGUUCGAGCGUCAUUUAGAGAACCUCAAGCACUGCUUGGCAUUGGGUCUUUCGUCCCCCUUGUGGACGGACCCUAAAGACCUCGGCGGCGGCGCGGACCCUCAAGCGUAGUAGAAAUAUCCCGCUUCGGGGCCUCAUGACCGCUCGCUUCCAAAAAACCGUACCUCAAAAGGUUGACCUCGGAUCAGGUAGGGAUACCCGCUGAACUUAAGCAUAUCAAUAAGCGGAGGAAAAGAAACCAACAGGGAUUGCCCCAGUAACG
rnacentral:rRNA from 1 species